CUCGCACCACGCGGCGGCUCGGGACGUCCUGUGGCUCCAGCAGCAGACGGGCUUCGACAGCCUUCCCCUGGGGCUAGGAGAGGGAUGAGGCUCCACAACCCCUGUGCAUGACUGGGAGCUGCUCCUGCCACGCUGUCCAAGCAGGACACUGUGCGGAGGGGUGCAGCUGUGGCCGAGGGAGUGUGCACAGUGCUCCUGUGGCCUUCGGGUUUUCUGUGCGACUGUGCUGUUUCCCCUUUUCUUCACCACCAAACCGUAAAUCAUAUUUCCCUGGCAUUUCUCAGAAGAGAUCAUGCAGAGGACCAUUUUGUGGCCAAUUGCUUGAGCCAGACACGAAUGCCGCCAACUCCCUUCAGAAAAGUGCCAUAGUUUCUUCAGUGCUACGGCUGGUCUCCCAUAACCAAAAUCCCAGGGAACCCAGCCCGUUUCCCAACUAAACUUUAAGACUUCAGUCUGGAUGCUAAGGAAAGAUGGGUUUGCAGCAGAGACUUGUGCCUGCCACUGGUGUUCUGCGAAUCCAGUCUCACAUUUCCUGCUCAGUGUCCUUCUCCAAAUCUGCCCCCUGGAGACCCUGGCCUCAGCUACCGUAAAAUAAUGGCAAGCAAAAGCCUGUUAGGAAGGAGCAGGACUUUGGAUACUCCUGAAUUAUGCUGGAACAGAUGCCUGAUCUUGAAGCCUGUGCUUGGAUUGUUCUGCAGGGUCUUGAAUGUCUGCAGCAUCAAUCCUGAAGAAAGGAAACCAUCAGCUUAUUUCUUACAAACCACUGAAUAACGACGGCAUUCGCCCAAUAUUUUUCUGCUGGUGGAAACCAAAUCUGAGCAAUUUAGAAAUGGCAAGAUUGUUUAGUGCCACUCCCUUUAGGCACCCUCCAGUAACACACCCUUCUUCUCUAUUUGCUUUCUUAUGGUGGGAGUAAGACAGAAACACCCCACAAGGUGUAGUGCUUUCCCUUCAAAAACGCAAGAGGAUCAGGUAAAAGGACAGAAAACGGUCAAUUUGGGACUGGCCUGCCCUCCUUCCAAAGAAAUGCAGCUUGACUUCCAGCUGACCUUCAAGCUUUUACAAGCUCAAAGAGAGAGAGUUACAGAAUUGUUAACAGCUAUUUUAUUACACUUACAGAUUGUGUGAGUUGCAUUUUAUUGGAACGCAGCACUUGGCAGUUUUUGCAUUUGGCUGUAACAUGAAGUUUAAGGGCUGUGGUUAUUCUGACAUGUUAACCCCCUGGUUCCAGGAUUUCCCACUGUGUUAAACUAAUGAAAAUGUUUGGGCACAGCUGCAACCUGUUUCAUUAGAGAGGUGCCAUGCUGAAAAAUUGUGACGUGAGCCUGGUAGUUGCUGACCAAGAGAAAAAAUACCAUGAUGUUGAGGAGAUCUAGGCACAGAGGAAUGUGCUUAGAUCAAAAAGUGCUAUAUAUUAGUGCCAUAGCUUAUUGCUCAGCUUCAAGGCGAUGCGAUGCUGUUCAGGACCUUGCAGGAUCAGGCACCAAAGCCAAUUUCUUCCAAACUUUUUUUGAAUGAAAGCUCUACUCAGAGCUACACCACCUUAGAGAGAGAACCUCUCCUUCCCUUUUCUUCUGUAAGCUUCAUUUUGCAAUCAGCCUGAUUUAUUUCAUUUUUCUUUAAUUGAUGCUGCACUGAUAAUGUACACAAUAAUGCCUUAAAUAGUGGUAAAACGCCCUUGCCAAAGGCAUUCAGUAGAGUAACAUUUGAAUUCUUGUGGCAAAAUGUGGAAGUGCUCAGGCUUUGCAAGGGUGAGGCCAUGGGUCCUGCUCAUACUUGCUGAAGAUGAUUUUUAAGUGCAAUGUUAGUGAGAAAUGGAAACUGCAGGCCAAGUGACUCCCAGUAAUUUUCAUGAAGCGCCUCAACUCAUACAGGAGAGCAGUUAUGUGAGGAUUCCUUGUUUUUUGAAGAAAGGCUAAUUUGUGCAUUUGAAAGUGUUUUUGGUUAAUAUCAACACUAGGUAGAAUGAGGGACUGUACCCUUGGACCUUGCUGAGACAGCUCUGUUCUCUUGGACGUUGUUGUUCAAGUUCAGUACUGCUCUUUGUUUUCUGACAUCAACUCUCCUCUGUAUUUCCAUCUAAAUGUUCUUACAGGCCUGCAUAAACUUGUUUUCUUUCAGGCCUUAGCAAUCUGAGAGGCGCAAAAUUCACACGAGACGAUGGGAGUGCUGUACUGUAAUUGCCUGCUCUCUUUGCGCUGUUCACUGUCUGGUUUUAUGUCUACCUAUCUUCACAAAGGAAGAGGCCCUGGCAGCUCCCACAAGAGCUGCUUGGUAGUAAGUACUGGGCAAUGUCUUCACAACAUCCACGUUGGAGCUCAUGAGAGAGGAAGAAGGCAAUGUUGAUCUUGUAACAAAAGCGACCAGAUGAGAUGAGGCGAGUUUGGUGUGACUGCUUCUAGGGACCACUGCACUCUUUCAUCCUUGAGGAAAGCUUUCCUACCACGAGUGACAUUCACAGUGCAAAGAUCUGCUUGUAUUCUCAGCUGCUUGCCAUUUGUCAGGGCAGCAACCUUUUAAUCGUUUUCCCCAAUCUGUCUCCUAACGGCAGGGGAGAAUAACCCCAACCUUACCUGAAACAGAAAGCUGGCACUGAAAGAAAAGGAGUCCAAGAGCUGUGGGCAGUCCUAGAGCCCUGCUGUGGCCAAGUGUGUCCGUGCUGAAAGGAGAGUCUCCCGGCCAUCUGUGUUGCACCAGUUAGCUACAGAAAGCCUCCAGAAAUUUUAUCAUACAGAUCUUCUCAACAUAUUUCUCUGGUGGCAGAAAAUGAAGAAGAAAAAAAAAGAAAAAGGCAUGAGGGUAGCGACAUAGAAUAUUUGUCCAGUAGUAAGCCAGGUGAGAAGCAAUUGUUUGAUAGUAAAUUACUGAAUGUAAGUGCUCAAAUAUAGAGUGCUAUGCUAACUCCUAGGGAGCGGAGAAAAGAGAAUCAACAGCGCGGUGCCUCAGAGGAAGGCUCACCCAGCAGAAAGCACAGUCUUACGGCCGCAGCGGAUACGUCUUCCAGCAGGCUCCGACAUCUUCAUGACUAACCUUCUCCUCUCCUUCUGCCCUAUUUCAGUGACUCCUUCACUGUCCUAUGGUGCUCUCCUUUUGCUUUAAUACCUCUCUCGUGAUACAAAAAAGUAAUCUAGUUCAAGCAAGACGACUUGGGGUGCCUCCCUGCCAUGCCCUGUGUGGAAAGGGGUGCGCGCAGAGCUGCAGGCUGGAGAGGCUGACUAAUCCUGUGUGAGGCCUCUGCGGGCCAAAUCAAGUGAUGCCUCAUGCUACUGGAGAUAGAAAUAUUUCAAUUGGCAUUUGCAUCAUGGAUCAGCUGAUGUUGUUUUAACCUGAGGGUCUCAGGAAGGGCAAAUGGAUUAGGUCAAAUAAAACAGUUCUGGCUGGUUGUCACACAGGAGGCAGAACUGAUGCCUGUCUUUCCCUUCCGACUCCCGUGCUCCAAAAGGGGCAGCACGGCUGCAGGGCACGAGAGGGCUCCAACACCAGCGUCCUCUUUCUUGUGGCUUGUAGCUUGAGCCCAGUUUUAUUUAUGGGAAUGCAAUCCAGAUAAAUAUUCUUUACAUUUAUUUAGAAAUGUGAGCAUCCAGGGCUAACAACAGGGAUGCCAAUUAAUGCAGAUUGUUGUGCCUGAUUUUUGCCACGCUAAUAGCUGGCCACUAAGUGUUCAGCAGCAGUGU